GAUGAACGCUGGCGGCGUGCCUAAUACAUGCAAGUCGAGCGAACAGAUGAGGAGCUUGCUCCUCUGACGUUAGCGGCGGACGGGUGAGUAACACGUGGAUAACCUACCUAUAAGACUGGGAUAACUUCGGGAAACCGGAGCUAAUACCGGAUAAUAUAUUGAACCGCAUGGUUCAAUAGUGAAAGACGGUUUUGCUGUCACUUAUAGAUGGAUCCGCGCCGCAUUAGCUAGUUGGUAAGGUAACGGCUUACCAAGGCAACGAUGCGUAGCCGACCUGAGAGGGUGAACGGCCACACUGGAACUGAGACACGGUCCAGACUCCUACGGGAGGCAGCAGUAGGGAAUCUUCCGCACUGGGCGAAAGCCUGACGGAGCAACGCCGCGUGAGUGAUGAAGGUCUUCGGAUCGUAAAACUCUGUUAUUAGGGAAGAACAAAUGUGUAAGUAACUAUGCACGUCUUGACGGUACCUAAUCAGAAAGCCACGGCUAACUACGUG
rnacentral:rRNA from 1 species